rnacentral:lncRNA from 1 species
UCGGUGCCCUCAACAGAAAUAGCUUGUUGGGAGGCAGGGUGUUGCCUUUAUCAGUGCGCUUUGGGUGACGGGCGCUUUACGAAGUACUUUUUAAAGUACACGUGCUGAGGAGGAUUUAAAGUAGAUGACCUGGCCGCCACAGGCCCCUCUGGCCUUCCCCGUGUCAGUGCCCGGGGUGGAUGGUCCCGGCCUUCCCCGUGUCAGUGCCCGGGGUGGGUGAUCCCGGCCUUCUCCGUGUCUGUGCCCGGGGUGGGUGGGCUCCGCCUUUCCUGGCGGGCUGAGUUUGUGUCCAGUGGUGUUUACUUGAUCAGUGCGGAGGCUGCGUUGUCAGACAUGGAUAAAGUUAGCAUCAUCCUGUCUUCCCCUGACUGACCUCUUCAGCGUUCCUUGGUGGCCUGUCUGUCUCCAGGUCUGUCCAUCACCUUGUGUCACUUCAUGGAUGUUAAUACAGCGACACCAGCUUUCUCUACUGUCUGCCUGCUCUUUUUGCAUCUCAAAAAAAAAAUGUGUAGCCUCUGGGUCCUUAAGUCACAUAUAUCUCCCAUGUCUUUCUGUCCUCUGUGUCUCCCGUGUAUGUGAAUGCUGUUUUCUUUCUGCAGUCAGACCUUUGUCUUGUAACUAGAGCACUCGGUGCAUUGAGGUCGAUGUUGCCUGCUCAUCCGUGUGAUGGACUGUGACCGUCUCAUCCUGCACCUCUGUCUCCCGCUCUUUUUCAGCUCAGUCGCCUUUUCUCUCGUUUGGAGUACACGCUUUCUACUAGCUCACUGUUUAUCCUACACAUGUCAACGGCUGGCGGGGCACGGGGCCUCACACCUGUGAUCCCAGCGCCUUGGGAGGCUGAGGCAGGAGAAUCGCUGGAGGC